GUGAUAGCUGAUUGCAUUUAAUUUAAUGUAGUUACUACUUGGUAGUUUAAAUUUCUAGGUAGAAUUAUGAUGAUGACAUUAUCUAUCUAUUAGUCUUGACCAAAUUACGUGCCAGCAGUCGCGGUAAUACGUAGAAGACAAGUGUUAUUCAUCUUUAUUAGGUUUAAAGAGUACCAAGACGGUUAAUAAAGCCCAAAAGAAAUGAAUACGGGGGACACAUUAACUAGAGUUAUAUGAAAGGAAGCUCUAAGGUACUGUUGAGUGUAGAGAUGAAAUUUUAUGAUACCAGAUGAUUGGCACAGAUUUAUGCGAAGGCAUCUUCUUAUGUAAUAACUGACGUUGUAGGACGAAGGCUUAGGUAAUGAACAGGAUUAGGUACCCCAGUAAUCUAGGCAGAAAAUGAUGAAUGUCAUAGGUUCAAUUAUUGUGUCUAUAAAUGAAAGUGUAAGCAUUCCACCUCAAGAGUAAUUUGGCAACAUUGGAACUGAAAUCAUUAGACCGUUUCUGAAACCAGUAGUGAAGUAUGUUGUUUAAUUAGAUGAUACACAAAAACCUUACCACAAUUUGAAUAUAUAUAAAAUAUAUUUACAAGCGCUGCACGGCUGUCUACAGUUAAUGUCGUGAGACUUUGGUUAGCUCCAUUAAAUUGACGUAAACCCAAAUUUUAUUUAUAAAUAUAAU
rnacentral:rRNA from 2 species